AUUGAACGCUGGCGGCAGGCCUAACACAUGCAAGUCGAGCGGAUGAAGGGAGCUUGCUCCUGGAUUCAGCGGCGGACGGGUGAGUAAUGCCUAGGAAUCUGCCUGGUAGUGGGGGAUAACGUCCGGAAACGGGCGCUAAUACCGCAUACGUCCUGCGGGAGAAAGUGGGGGAUCUCCGGACCUCACGCUAUCAGAUGAGCCUAGGUCGGAUUAGCUAGUUGGUGGGGUAAAGGCCUACCAAGGCGACGAUCCGUAACUGGUCUGAGAGGAUGAUCAGUCACACUGGAACUGAGACACGGUCCAGACUCCUACGGGAGGCAGCAGUGGGGAAUAUUGGACAAUGGGCGAAAGCCUGAUCCAGCCAUGCCGCGUGUGUGAAGAAGGUCUUCGGAUUGUAAAGCACUUUAAGUUGGGAGGAAGGGCAGUAAGUUAAUACCUUGCUGUUUUGACGUUACCAACAGAAUAAGCACCGGCUAACUUCGUG
rnacentral:rRNA from 1 species